AUUAGCUUAGCUGGUUAGAGCAGGGGACUUUUAAUCCCAAGGUCCAGGGUUCGAAUCCCUG
rnacentral:tRNA from 1 species